UCUGUUUCUCGCCGCGUCGGCGCCGCUCGCCUCGCAACUCCGGCGGCCGGAGCAGCCGGCUCGCCGCGCGUGCUAUCUCACUCGCCAGCUAUCUGCCAUCAGCAAGGUACCCUGCCGAAACCCCGAAACCCCGCGGUUACCUACGGAUUAUUGCAAUCCACCUCGUGCUGAGUAUCAGAGUGUGGUCGUCGCGACUAGGUUUAAAUUCGAGUUUCUCCCAGAAUAGUGGUGGAAUUUGUGUUCAUCGCUGUCGCUACGCGCACGGUUUAGUCUGGAAUGGGUGGCCUCGAGGUGGUUCCAAGGAAGCCUGGCUUAAGGAAAUGCGAUCCCUAUAUGCAAAAUUUGGGACUGGUUUGACUUGAAAAUUUUUGUCACGAUUGACCGGAGCUAUGUAGAACCUGUUGUUUUGAACAACUUCACAGGACUAGUUUGUGACGUGAUUGCACUAGCUUUGAAGUCUGUACUGUGAUGUGUGUAAAGGUAGUGUAGGACCAGCUAGAUAGGACAAAAGUGUAUAUUUCGCCUGGUACUAGAUAGGACCAGCCAGCUAGUAAAACGAGAUGGUUAGGUAUGGGGAGCUUUGUUAAUAUCCGUUUCCUGAAGAGUCAGUUAACUUUUGCAGGUCUUCAGGCUGUGAGAACCUUCAUGUGUUAUUUACUUACUAUUAUUGUACCUGUAUCUGUAUACCAUGAGAAAUUUCCUACAAAACUUAAUUCAGUUCUAUGCCAUAAGUAGAGUUUGUGUUUACCCCCUGUGUAACUUAUGAAUAAUGAUAGGAAAGGGGGGCUUGGAAAUGCAAUAACACAGCCAUUACCUGAACUGCUUUCCCCAGUUUUCUUCUACUGGUUGGCUGAUGACAUUGUCAAUUUCUACCAGUAUUGUGAAAGCAUUGUGCAUGUUUUGAGUUUCCAUUCAUCUGAGUUUGAGCAGAGAGAAGCCCUUCCAAAGGAGCCCCAGUGUGCUGUGCAUGGUGAAAUAACCAGAAAAUGAUGGGAUUCUAUAGUGUUCCUAUCCAUGGUCUUGCUGCUUCAAAUAAAGCCAGCAACAAAGAAUUCCACUCUUCAGUUGGUGAUGACUGAUGAGAUCUCCCGUAUGACUAGCAACAGCUUCCGUACCUUAUUCAUCACAUAGUGGCCAGAUGCCCAGAUCUUUUGAUUAUUAAGUGCAAUAACAUGUUUCAUUUUGCGGUUUCUCAGAUGAUUUUGUGCGAUCAUGAACCUCCAGGAUACUUUGCCUUCUUGGCGGAGGCGCAAGUGACGCAUCAAUGAAUAUUGGAACCUUGCUUUCUUCUAGAAUUGCUUGAUAGUGCUGUUUUUCACGUUCUUAAUCUCUAAGUCCGCAAGCAUAGUUGUAGAGCUAAUGAACCAGUUAGGACCAUCUGCUGAUAAAGAAUUUACCUUUCAGAACUGAUUGAUUUGAAGAUUCUUUGCUCAGAGAAACUACAGAGUCUGACGUGAGAGGUAGCCUGUUGAAGCAGAGACAAGUGAGCCUUAUGAUUAUACGAGCAUAGUGCUCAGCGUUACAGUGUUCUGCAUCUAUACAGCUCUUACGGUGGUUGAGAUAGCAGGCCAUGCAACUGUUUCAAGCAUUUUAUCGUGCCCAGGUCAUUAUACUUUGGAAAAUGUAUUUCCAGAAAUGAGGAAGGUGACAGGUUAUGGCACGCACUUGUUUGAAAUGAGUGAACUGAACAUUUUUGUUAAACAAGUGAUCAGCAGUGUGAGUCCAAGCAGAAGAAAUUGAGGGGUUUGACUGAUUGGCAAUCGAGCGGCACCAUAAGUCACCAGAUGUCAUGUUAACUCAUUGCAAAAUCAAAGCUUAUCUCACACUUAGGUUCCUGCAAUUAAACGGAAAGCAAAUCCCUUUGCUACAUGCUAGUACUAUAUUAAAGGAAGCUUCUGUUAGAAGAUAAUAAGCUUACUGCAGGACAGCAGAAGUACAAGUACCUAUUAUAUUUAUAUCUACACAGUUUCCUCCAGGUCUCUUGGGGGCAUGGUGUUGAUCUCAAAAGUAUGCCAAGUGAUGUUGUGCAACAUGUUGCAUUGCACACAUGCAUAUAGCCAUUAAGCUUGAGAAAGUAUCAAUGUCCCUGAAUAAGGAAGAUUGGCUGCUUUUUCUUGAGAGCAGGUUCUGAUUCUGAAGCCUAGAGACAUUCUUGCGUGGUACUUCUAUAGCAUGAAUUCAAAUCAGAAAUAUUAAUCAUCUGCCACAUGUCAAUGCCAACAGGAUAUAUUGAAAUACAAGUGCGGCGGUAACUUUGAAAGAUGUUGCUUUAUAUGGGAUUGGCUCUAUGCUGCCCAGAAGAUAUUGGUUACUAUAAUGGCUCAGUGCACAUUAGAACCUUAAAUCUUAUAACUUAGGUGUUUGCAGUUUACUUCUACGAAGACCAUAAAUUUGUAACUUGAAGGCUUGGAGCUGGUUCAGAAUUCAGAUAUCCUUGGGGGGUUUGUUCUGUGUGAAGGGAAGAGAUAGUUAAUAUGUGCACAUAUAUUCAUUAUUGAAAGCAAAGCAUAGCAUCCAAGUUACUGUUGUUGCUUGGAUGCUAAUUCAGUAAUUUAUUAUUAGUGCAGGCUUGAUGUAAUUUUGAAUUUUUUUUGCAGUAUUGCAGCCUUAGUUGCCAUUUAAUAUUUUUAGUUAUUGAAGGUUGAUAUGAUUAUGCAUUAAGUUAUUAGAUGGUAAUAUUGUUAAAAACCAUGCAUCACAGCAUCGAUGACCAGGAAUAAAUGAGGAAGAGUUUAUUAGUUUAAAAGGAGAAAAAGGACUUCAGCUUAGGAUCGGGAUCAUGACUAACAGUAGGUGGGCUGAAUUAGCUAGAAAUUUUACUUUGGUAUUUCCAUUAUUUAUUAAAAAAAUUAAUUUAAUUUAUGCAAAUGGUCUUUCCUGGUAUGGUUUAUUUUUGGUAGCCACAAACUGUAUUAUGGAUGGUGAUGUGUCUUAACAACUAGCUAAAAACACUCAACCCAACCACCUUACUGUUUUGAGGAUAUAAAUUAGCUAAGCCAUGUAGUUUUGUCCUCUUUUACUAAACUUUUUUUCUGUUAUAAACAGUUAAUUUAAUAUUAUCAUGCAUUGCAUAGAUUUAUAUUCAGUGUAUGGUGACAAAUCGUGACCCAAGUUCAUUGCUGAUUUAUAUCCUCGAGACACACUAUCUAAUCAUUUUGACUUGCUGUGGUAGUGUCAAAAUGCAACAGCUAAGCUAGGACCAACUGGCAAUAGUACGAAACCCUUCUUGUAGGGCAGUGCUUGAUCAUACACUUGCAGUCAUACUUUCCAACGCUAUGCAUUGGGUGGUUGGCUGGUCUACAGCUAGUUGCUUGCAGAAAUGCUGUGUCAGAUCUGAGACUUCUAUUUAAAGAGAGUAUUGCGUGGAUAAAUCUAAUAAUCUGGAUACUUAUUAUACACAUCAAGAGCCACACAGGGCAUUCUGACCUUCGGUGAGCUGGUCCAUAUGUUACUGUUAUGGCUGAUUGUGCUACUGUCCUUUACCAUAUUUGUUUGCAUCUUCCCAAGCUCCGGUAAAGAAAAGCUUGUAAGACUGCAUUCAUUCGAUUGUUGAGAAAAUAGUUUGACUUUAGUUUUCCAAUCCAUCUUCUAGAAUACUGUUUACUUCAGGUAUCUGUUCAUUUUUUACAAGCUAAGAGCGUAUUGUUUUAAGUAAUUAUGACUAAUCUUACCGUCUCAUUGAUUAUUAGGGAGGCAAUGCCAUAAUCCAUUUACUGGCAUGUACAUCAACCAUCACUUCAGAGGGUUUAGGUAGAUCUGGUGGGCAAUAAUAUCAUUAUGCUUUGCAAUCUAAUUAAGAUGAGAUAAUCAUGAUCUGAACAGGAUUGAAGCAAAGCAAGAAGUUAGUGAUGAGGGACCAGUACAGCUAUCCUACUAGACAUAUUCAAUGUAUGCUUUUGCAACAUGGGAGGCCCUUAACCAGCUACCUUGGCACCACAAGGUAUCAAGGCAAAUACUGGUAUGACCUUUUCCAAAAUUUAAGAGCAGUAGUAGUCUCGAUCAGUUUUCUGAAUUAUGAGGCGUGAAUCGUAUGUUUAAUUUGUUCUGCAGGCAAUACUGUCUUAUUUCUCAUUUUCCAGCUUUUUCUCAAGUGUGUGGACUUAAUGAACAUGUGUGAUAGGUUUGAUAGAUGGCGACACAACACAAACUAAUGAGUUAACAAACAUGCUUAUGCUAUUAUACAUGACCAAAAAGUCUAAGCUAAUAUGCUUAUUUUAAGCAUCCGAACUUAAUAAGGCACUGUUUGGAUCCACCCAACUAAAGUUUAGCUAGCUAAAAUUUCAAAGCUAAACUUUAACCAGCUAAAAGUUCUCUAAGCUAAACUUUAGCCGGGGUGUUUGGAUCCCCCAACUAAUAGACUCAGUUAAACUUUAGCUGGGGUGUUUGGAUCCUCUAACUAAUAGACUCCGUUAAAUUUAGCUGAUCUUUUAGCUGGACUGUUUGGAUCCCUAGUAGCUAGAGCCAGUUAAAAUUUAGUUGGUGGAUCCAAAUAAGCCCUAAGGAGUUUGCUACAUUGCCAUCGCUUUUGCUGGUAACCAUCACUGAACUUAACAUGGUCCUAAUCAGAUGCUAUGUUAUCUCUUUGUGUACUAUAAAUGGUGAUCGACUGUUGUUUUCAUCAACAUCCUAGAGACCUCUUAGUCUACUGUAUGUGUCAAUUGCAGCUAAUAUCCUUCCUGUUGUUGUGCUCUUCCGAUCUCUUUUUUUGGCUGGCACGAUCGUACUUUAUGACUGACCAACUAACUGACUGGGCCCAUCUGCAUUGACUGCACGCUUUACCAACCUAUAGAACCAAACUGUGGAGAUGAUUCGUGCUUCAUUGCUCCUAUUUGUGUGUUAUCAAAUAGGGAAGAGAGAAUAUGGGGGGACCAUGGUUUUUUUUUUCAUUCACUUCACUCUUGCUUUCUACAAUACUGUACUAGCUACCAUGUGAGAUUUUACAUAUGAUGUGGCGUUCAAGUUUUUUCGAAGGGAACUAGGAAAAUGCUGUAGUUUUUUUUGGUUGUUGCUAGUGCUGGAUUAAUGUCACAGUUCAAAGACAUGACAACUGAAGCUUACUUGAACUGAUCGAUAUCUGUUUUUACUGUGUACUGGCCGCAGGCUAUAGCUACUUUUGUGGAUGAACAAUGGAAACAAUCAUACGUAGUAUGGUGCGCUGUCACAGUUAAGUUGAUGCCUUUCUGUUAAUUGUAUAGACAUUGCAUUUAAUCAUCAAUUAAGUGCCCCAAGCUUGCGAUCAGGGAUUUUUGCCUGCAGACAAUGGUUCCGCUGGUCAUUAUUGCUUGUGUUAGUUGUAUGCUAACUUGGCUGCUUAUUAUUAAUUAGCAGUGUACUGUUGUGAUUAUGCAAAUCGUGAGCAGUAUUUUGAUGAUUCUCUGAUGAUGUUCUCAUCUCAUUUAUCACAUAUUUACGUGAAAGUGACAUUCACAAUAUAGCACCUAGGAAUAUGGAUAUAACAUUUACUAUGUUUCUUCACUGGAGCAACAGAACUGCCAAAAAAUUAUUAUUGAUGAAUGCACACAGUAAACAUUUUGAUCGAGUUGAUUAACGUAACUGUGAUGAUACUGGAAACCUUUGUGCAUUUGCUUGUUUCUCUUUUGUUUUGACUAUCUUGCAGGAAAAGGUACAUGGCAUAAAUGCUCAAAGAUAAAUGAAUUUUCCUAUGAUGAACCAUACAUGUUGUUCUUAGUCCUGGGGAGUUUACUGGCUAAGUAGGUAGGCUGAUGCUCUGUGCUUUGAAAUGAUUGUGUUGUUAGCCAAUA